ensembl:lncRNA
CGUGUAACGACAGAGGCAGAAAUUGGAGCGACACAGCAACAAGCCAAGGACUAUCAAGGAGUGCCGGUCAUUCUCAGACACUAGGGGGAGGUAAGGAAGGAGCCUACACAGCCUCAGAAGGAUCCAACCCUGUGACACCUUGAGUUCAGACUUCUGGCCUCCAGAACUGGAGAGGAUAAAUUUCUGUUGCUGUAAGCCACCCAGCAUGUGGCACUUCAUUAAAGCAGCUCCAGGAAACGAGUAGAGAAAGCAUCCCAGGUAAUUCCUGUGUGCAAAAUAACUGACAAUCGCUGAGCUAAAAAGUCUCUUGAGCCCUUCCUGCCGGGACCUGGUGGGACUCUGCGAUGCCUCCUUAGCCCUGAACUCCCCCUCUUUCUCAGACAAGCGUCCAUCCAGGUUCCUGACACCAGGACUCUCUAGAAGAAAGAAAAGGCCAAGAGGAAACUUCCAAGGAAGCUAUUUGUCACCUUGUCCCGACUUGCAGAUGGGGAGUGAGGAAAUUUGUCCCAAGGAUCACGGCUGGGAAGCGGCCAGGCGCAGCGUCCCACUCGGGCCUGGGUGAUGCUCAGUCCUCCCUGUGAUGGAUCCUCCUGCCCCGCCCUGUCUGUGGGUCCAGCCUGCACAAUGUCUGUGAAGCGGUUCAGCGAACACUGUGAGCACGUGUUGCCAAGAUGCCUAGCCCCAUGGAGGGCAGCUUCCAGAGGAGGGAAAAGGCUCAGAGCAGUCAAUCUCCUUGUGCAGGCGCCACAGCUAAGAGCCGCUGCAGAACCACGCAGCACGCUGACUUGCCCCCGGGAGUCCCCUGUGGCACCGGGCUUCAUGUGGCUCUGUGUUGGGGGCUGGCACGGGCAGCGGGGCACCAGCUUCUCCCUCAGACGUGAACCCGAGGCAGAGAUAAGAGCAGCCUCAAGAUGCCACCUUCAGGACACCGAAGUGUCGUCUUCAGGACACCAGACAUUGGAAACGAAGCUUUGCUCCCGGGAACAUGUCAGGCUGGGCGUGUGCGCGUCUUCGCAGUGCGGGGUCCCUUCACGUGCAGACCAUGGCCUCACAUAGCUCGAUAAAUCUGCCUCACUUAGUUUUUUGAGAGUCUCUACAAUUCCCUUAGCUGGAUUACUACGACCUCAAGAACAAGACCGUGACUUUCUCCACUUGAUAGUCCAAAAAACACUGAGCACAGACGCUGCCUACGGCCUGUCUUUGCCACACGUUUUCUGAGAGCACGGAUGCACGAGAGAAGGGACCGGAGAACGGAGGCAGGCUGCCCAGUUCAGCAGAAGAGCUGUGUAGUCGAUUAGGCUUGAGCUAACAUCUGCAACCAACCCUCUUCUUUUUGCUGAGGAAGACCAGUGCUGAGCUAACAUCCAUGACCAUCUUCCUCUACUUUAUAUGUGAGACGCCUGCCACAGCAUGGCUUGACAAGCAGUGUGGAGGUCCGUGCCGGGGAUCAGAACCAGCGAACCCUGGGCCGCUGAAGCGGAGCGCACAAACUUAACCGCUGCACCACUGGGCCAGCCCCCUUCAUCUUCCUAUUUUACAGAAGAAAACAACAUCUCAUUUUGUCUUCAUAUUUUUUUAGAUUUUUAGAAUACUUUUUAUUGAGGUAUAGCAUAUAAAAUGCACACAUCUUAGGUGUACAACUCAAUGAAUUUUUAUGUAUAGCAAUGCCUACAUAACUACCAUCAAGAUCGAGAUAGAGAACAUUUCCACCACUCCAGAAGGUUCUAUGUACCCCACCCCCACUAUUCCGCCUUUUUUCACCUUAGAACAGUUUGCCUGUUUGUGACUCUCAUAUAUAUUGAAACAUACGGUAAUUACUCUUUUGCAUCUGGCUUUUUUGACUCAACAUUUCGUCCUUGGGAGUCACUCCUGCUGAUGUGUGCAUUUGUAGUUUGCUUGUUCUCAUUGCUCACUCCAUUCUAUUGUGUGAAUAAACCACACUUCAUGUAUCCAUUCCUCUGCCGAAGGAUAUUUGGUUGUUUCCAGUUUUGAGCUACAAUGAAUAAAACUGCUAUGAACAUUCUUGUAAUGCCUUGGUGGACAGAAGCACUCACAUCCAUGGAGUAUAUGCCCAGGAUUGGAAGUGUUGGGCCAGACACUGUUCACAUAUUCAGUUUUAGUAGAUCAUUCUAAAUAUCUUUUCUAUGUGGUUGUAUCAAUUUAACUUCCUCCCAGACAUGAAUGAGCAUUCCAGUUGCUCCACAUCCUUACCAACACAUAAUAUUUUUAGUCUUUUCAGUUUCAGACAUUCCGGUUUAAUUUGUAUUUUUAUUGUUACAG